CUCUUCAAUGCCUGUAUUUUGAUUUAUUUUCACUAUUUUGAUAUUGAAUAGGACCAGCAUCGGGCCUCUUUUCAAGUUGGGAAAGAUUGAGUUUCAGCAGGAAAAAAUCUUGGAGGGGCAGAAGGAAACCAUCGCUAAAUACUCUCUGAAGUAAUCCAUCACAAAAAGAAAGGAAAUAAGAAAGUUAAAAUAUGUGUACCCAACCAAGUCCAUAUUGCUGUGCAUGAUGGAUACUCCCAUGGAAUUUCCAUAGGAUUGUAGUGAACAAUAAAAUCCGAUGAUGGAAACCAAAUGUUGAAAUGCAAUAAACAGAUAUUUCCUGUCUAUGCAAGAUAAAGGAAGGAGAAAGUUGAUUCUUUAAAGAAAGGAAUGGAUUUGUAUCAAAGGAAAAAAGG